AACAACGGUUGAUAAGUGAACAAAGCUGCGACCGAGUUUAAAAUAAAUGUUUGGAGAAUAAUGUCUUCCCGCGAAAUAACCAGAAACAGACAGAGGGCCCUGCUCCGGGCCGAAACUCCUAGGCCAUGCCAUCAUUGGGCAGCGCUCCAAACAAAGCGACCCAAUCUCUGAAAACUUUUCAUAAAUCAACAGUUACGCGGAGUGAAAAGCUAAUGAAGACCCCUAAGUACUUCAGGAUCUAAGUUUAUUGACAAGCCAAACAUUUUAGUGCUUUGCGCAGAUGCUAAUAGCCAAGACCAACAUCAGGGUCGAGCAG
rnacentral:lncRNA from 1 species